CCCAGGACUUGCGUCCUGGGCUAGUUUCAGUCGCCCCUUCGGGGCU
rfam:Acidobacteria bacterium RIFCSPLOWO2_02_FTLL_59_13 rifcsplowo2_02_scaffold_31585, whole genome shotgun sequence.